AUCAAUUUGUAAUUUUUCUUUUUUGCUGUGGCAAGAGUGUGAGGGACGUAAGCAUUAAAUCCCCAGGAAAGUCGCCUCUGCAGCAGUCUUUAGUGGUCUGCAUUAUUUAUUUGUGUACAGUUGUGUUACACACCGGACCCUACCAAAAUAAGUAAAUAACACCAAAGCGGGCUCUGUCCAUAGCAGAGCAGAUGGUCAGGGAUGGGCCUCGUCCUGCACACAGGUGGGUUGCAGCAAGGGGACUCGGUGCACAGAACCAGUCCUGCUUUCUGAUGGGUCCUCUGCCCCUGUUGUUUACAGCAGGUAAUUAAUGACCUGUUCACCCAGAAAGCAGAGGGCAAGAUGACUCUGGUAGUUUAAUAAUUCAGUGCUCUUAGAGAACUCUGUGCUUGUGCAAAACACUCAGAUGCAUGCUGUAGGGCGGCUGGCCUGGAAGGCUUUGCAGAGGUUUCUGUGCGUGGCUAUUGUAGUGGAAAUGCUAAGUCAUGACUUGAGGCAGUGAUUGAGCACCUGGUGGGAAGGCAAGGCCAUCCCAGGGGAGCUCAGGUGCAUGUAAUGCAAUGCACGUGAGUGAUCAGAAGAGGGUGGAGCCGGGAUCCAUCCCUCCCCAGACCUCAUUUAAGGAUUAGCAGUGGGGGUAAGCAUGUUUUGCUGGAAAUCCCUGUGUGCCUGAGGCCUUCUGAAGCUGCAAAGCAACGUAUGCACCAAAAGCAAACCAACCUUGCACAAAUUAUCCCAAUUCCUGCCUUGCGAGCGGAGGCAGCUGUGACUGAUUCCAGCAAAACACCUUGCGUCUGGUCUACAAAGCCUGAGCUAAUCUGCACGUCCAACCAAAGCGGGUCCUUCCUCAUCACAUGCUUGUGCUGCCAGAGCAGGGGACGUGGAUAAUACUUUGGAGCCACUACAAACGAUUCGGAAAAGACUCUGCCAUGGUAGCAAACAGCUGGUGUAGCUAAUCCAUUUUCCAAGCACAUUUGCAAGAUACAUAAUUAAGAGUUCUGUUGAGGGGCGAAGCAAAGCAAACCAUUAGAUUUGUUUAUAACAUUUUGGGUAGUGUAAUACUCAGCCAGGAUCUCCCUUUCCUGCAAAAGACAUUAAAGUGAUCCUUAGGAAAUGUCCCUGGGAUUUCCUGAUGACGCCCCCAUGACAUUAAAUUUGUGUAAGUAUUUCCAAUUCCAUUUGCCAUAUAAUUAAGCACCAUGAAGGAUCCCGCAGAUUUUUUGGACUUGUUAAUUGCUGGAUCAAUCCAGAUGAUAUUCCUUUAGGUUCUCUCUUCUGAUUUCUCUUGUCUCUCAGGCACAAACUGGGAUGGUUUGAGGAAGAGGAUGAGCGAGUUCCUUCAGCCUCACUGUUGCAGCACAAGCAUGCUGACAAGCUAUGUGUGUUUCACCUGCCAUUGACUUGCUGCUUGAUGACAAGCAACAGUUUCUUCCAAAGCAAACAAACAUUGUCCAGGUUGAAAUCAGCCUGGUUGUGGCCCACAUCCAAAGCAAUGCUUGUGUUUAUACGUCUCUGAGUUGAGGGCAGCUGUUGCAAUGUGGCACUGUGGAUUGGGUUUGCCAAGGGAGGCUGCAUGAGGGAAGAGCAGGUGUGGCAUGAAACACCUAUUUCUGCUUUAUAAAAAUCUCCCUGUGGUCUCAACAUUGUCUGUAAGACCCACCUAGCACCUCCCAGUGAGGUCUACUGGGAAUCCUCCCAUGGCAUGGGGAAAGAGUUGGUUUGAGUGGGGGAAAAGUCCCUGAUCAUCACAGGGGAGUUGGAGUAGAUGACCCUUAGGGGCCCCUUCCAACUCAAGUGAUUCUAUAGCUGAAUGAAACGAGAGGUGCCCAUGUCUCUCUGCCCAUGUUGCUGUGCCCAGGGGUGCAACAGAGCAGAGAAGUGAAGCCACAGUGACGCAUCCCUGACUCCAUCCCAGCAUUGUUGCUACUGGAGGAGGGUAAGCAGACCCUGCUGCUACCCUGCAGCGUGGUCUGGAGGUGUGCUCAUGCUCCCAACCACCCCGAGCCUUGCUCUACACCUACUCUGACUCUCUCUCUGCUUUCAUGCAGGUUCCGCAGCUCCGUGUGUCUCUCCCUGUGUUUCCAUCCUGUCGAACGCUCGGAGCCUGCCCUGCACACAUUUCAGAAGCGAAGGGCUUUCCUAAUUACAGUGCGAACAAUCCGAGGUGGGCUCCUGUCUGUCUAACUGUCAAGGAGAAUAAGUCAGCAGUGAGUCAGAAGCAGAGAUGUGGAAAUGAUGCAGGAGAAAGGGAAUAGUCUGUGCUGGGCUUAAUCACAGGGGCCAGGCGCUUUACAUUUCUUCCAACAAAACUCUGUUUGCUGCGGGUGCCUGAGGCUAGCUGAGGCGGGCAGCAUAGCUGGGGCUCAUCAGGCUCACUUGCCUCCUGGGCACUGUCUUUCACUUGGCUGGGCAUUGGCAUCUCUGCACCCAUCACAUCACACCCACUCCUUGCUCUGUGUGUGCUCCCGGAGCGGCCGAGGCGCACCACGCAGCCUUCCCUUGGAAGCUCUUUGCUUUAUCAUCAUUAUUGUUAUUUUACCAUUCUGUAUUAGUAUCAGCAGUAAUGCGAGCCCUUCACCUAUAGAAAGGGAGGAUUUUUUUUCUUCUGGAGGGAUCCAGGAAUCCUCCACUUACCUAUGUCGUAUUUAUUACGCCUGGUUAAAGAUCAUUAAAGCCUUUGUUAGCAGAGCUGACUGACAAGGAGAGUGGAUUAAUAUUAGAACACCCUGUCAAAAGUGGUGAAAAGGCUGGAUUGAUUUUAUGGGAAGUUUAGUCAGAGUUGUGUGUAAAGCCCUUGGGGGGUUACACUGCAGUGAAUCAAUCUCCUAUAUUAGCAACUCCCUCUGGGAAUAGUCGACUUCAGUGUUUAUUACAGCCGAGGCUGCAUAUAAUAGGGAUGGCAGCCACUCGCCUCCCUCUCUCCUUUCUCAUAAUUUGCUGCUUGCAAUUGCAGCCACACAGAGGAGCACCUGAGAUAAACAAAGGUGCCAGGCUCUGUGUAGUAUCAGAGCAAUGGGGGGGGGGUGAGAUGAGUGCCUGCCACCAGCCCUGUCCUGCUGCACCCACCCUGUGUUCUGCCUGGGGACCUGCUGAGAGCUCCUUUGUGAUGGCAGUUUUCAUCCCAGUGCCCUGGUAACAAAAAGAAGACACACAGGACAAUACCACCGAGAGCUUCUGCAAACAUCAAUUAACAGAAUCCCACACUGUGUGGGUGAGGAGGGUUUUGGCACGGUCGAAAGAGAUGUGAGUGAGGUGCCCGUGCACUUGUGGGUCUAAUUGCAUUCAAUCACCUCUGGGUGUAAAGCAGCCCCGGGGCAGCAGGGAUGCUGUGGGCUGGGGGGGCUGUGCACCCCAAUGCACAGCUCAGGGCACUGCAGUGAUGGCAUUCCCACAGCUGAUGGCUCCCAGCCUUUGCCACGUUAGCUCAAUGGAAACCAUCAGCACUUCUUGGAGAGACCAAUGCAGCAGAGGCAGCUCCUGCGGUCUGCAGACCCGCUGGUGGUUCCUCCAGCUGUGCAUGCAUCCUUCUGUGCCAUGCCCAAUAAGCCGGAUAAUCUUCAUCGCUCCUCUUCCACUGUCACUUACUUCACUUUUUAUCUACACAACAGCAAUUCCUUUCUGCUCCCCCCAUCCUCUUCUCUCACUAAUGCUCUUCACUUUCAAAUGCUAAUAAUCUGCAGCACUAAAAGGCUUAGAAGUGGUUCUAGAUUGUUUGAUCUUUGGCCUGUGAUCUACUUUCAUCUUCCAGCUUUCAAAUGUUACUUUGGAUUUACUUUAACCUAUUAACACGCUUGGUAUUCACAGGCACGCACUUUUGGUGUGUUUUGCAUCAGAUCCACCCAAAUUCAAACGAGCAGGGAAAGUUAUUCUUCUGGACACCAACUUUUCUCUGUGACUGUUUGCUCACAGGCACAGUGGGGGUUUCCCUCUCCUGUUUCCAUGUUCUCUGGGGAUGCUGACCGAGGAUGGGGAUGUGAUGUUCCCCGUUGUGAGGGGACAGCGGUGGCCUUGGACCUGCAGCCACCAGCCCAGCACCCAGCAGGGAAUGUGGCGUAGCGGAUCGCCCUCCGCCUCCUCCUCCUUUAUAGUGGCACCUCUGGAGAGAAUGGCUUUGAAAGCGCUGCUUUGUUCAGCAGCUCCUCAGGACUGUCUGGUCCUCAGUCAGCGUUGGAUGUCUGAGCAGAGACAUCAGAGCCUUCCCGAAGCUGUUAUAACUUAAUCUGGCAGGCCAGCCUGCUCCGGCACCUCUUGCCAAGAGAGGAAGCCAGAGCACUAGAUGAUUUUCAGACAUUAGUGACUGCCAUAAAUCAGAAAGCAGAAGUUAUCGAGUGCUCUGCUAAUGGACAUUUCCUUCCAGAGUAUCCCCUCUUGGGCUUUGCGGGGGCACAGAAGCUGCUCUCAGUGGGGGAAGCCAAGGGAGCCGUGCCAAGGCUGGGAAAUGUGCUGAGGGAGGAGGCUGCAAGAUGAGCACCAGGCCCCAAUUCCAGCCUGACUGCUGCACUGCUGGGGCUGCUGAUGCUCUCUGUGGGGGCGUGGACCCCCCACCAGCCCCAUACAGAUAGCCACGCUCUGGGAGCAACUCCCAAGCCAUCAAGGGGAAGACAUCAUUUGAGAUCAACUUGUAAACAGCUUGGAGUGCAGAGGGGAGAUUUCAGCCAACCUGAGCUCUUGGGCAGGGUUUAAGCCGUGUGGAAGGAGGCGAUGCGUUGGUGCUGAGAUGGCAUUGCUCCAUGCUAUGCUGUAUGGCUCUUUAGAGCUGGUGUGGGAAGGGGCAGAGCCCCGAGCCCUUUGCCUUCACUGCUGACUCCCAGCCAAAGCAACGCGCUCCUUGAGGAGCAGCAAACUAUUUAAUAUUUAAACCCGAACAGCCCAGGCAAAGCUGCUUUUCUUUUUUAUUUAUUCUUUUAAUUAAAUGCCAAUUAGAAAGGAAGAGAGAGAGAGCGAGAGAGAGAGGGGAAAAAAAGGCAUUAAACACUUAAAUACACACUACACCCAGGUUGCUCAAAGUUGUUACGAGCUAAUUAGCUACUUAAGUGAUCAUUUGAAAUUCCAUAUCAAACAAUUCAUAAUCUGCCCCAAAACUGGAGCCUCAAUGAGCAGCCAUCAGCAGGGCCUGCCCUAUGGCUGCAACCUGUGGGCUCGGGGGUUCCCCCUGCACAUCCAUGUGAACUUUGUGCAGAUGGGACUGGGCAAGAAGCAGUAUUUACUGCCCAGAGCUACAAUCAGAAGCCAGGUCAUUGCCAGGAAUUCUGUUGGUGCUUUUUCAUAUCUCCAUGCUUGGAGGUUGCAGUUUCCUUGCUGCAUGGCCCUUCUGAUGCUCCUGGCUUCAACAGUGCUGUUAUCUGCUGCCUCCGUGACCUGAAGGUGUUCAAGAACUGUGUAGAUGUGACACUGAGGGACGUGGGAUGGUGGGGAUGGGUGGAUGAGUUGGUGAUCUUGGAGGUCUUUUCCAGCCUUAAUGAUUCUAUGACCCAACAAGCUGGUGCCAUCCAUCUCAUGUCACUUCAGCCCUAAAUGAGGCCUGGGGGAAGCAUGAGGGUGAAAUUCCCCGUUCACCAAGAAAGGCUUCAGCCCUUCUGUGCACCUCAUCAGGGCUGGAAAAUCUUCCUCUGCGUUUCCUUCCGUGGAAAGUGCUGCCCCAUUGUUUAAACCCUGUGCGUGUGUCUAUCUGCAUCCAACUGAACCCCUCACAUCUGCCCCCGGCACUACCCUGUGAGCUCAGGGUUAUGAGGGCAGAUUGGGGAGCCCCAUCCGUAACCCGUAACACCACCGCGCCUAACGAACAAUGCAUUAAUUAGAGGCAGCAAUUCAGCCUCCACAGUAAUCAAUUCCGGCAGCGCCUGCUCUGCCUGCGCAUCCGACAGCCUCUUCCACUCCCUUCUGCAAGAUUUAUUAAUUAUCAAUGCUGGCUCCGGCGUGGCAUGCAGAGGAGAGCAGGAGCGAGGAGGUGGUAUCGGCGGCGGAGAUCUGAGAGACGUCUGAAGGGGAUUGGCAUGUGCAGGAGACAGCCUGCCUCCUGGGGACUCGCCCGGUGAUCUUUUUUUCCUCCCUUCCUCCUGCUUUUCUUUUAAUUAGUGGAGUCGGUGCGAUGCUCUGCUUGGACAGCAGAGAGGUGGGUGCGCGGCAGCACGCAGGGGCUGGUGGGUGCGCGCAGCAUCCCCUGCUCCCUAUAUCCCAUCUCCUCACCCAGGGCAAUGCCUCGUGCCCGGGGCAGGCGCAGAUCCACGGCCCCAGGAGGUGGCUCUGUGCAGACCCUCCCCACCCACGCACAAACUGCAGCCCUCCCAACCAGUAAGCUCUGGUCUUUCCAUCCAUGGGUGAAGCGUGGCGAUUUCCAAGCCUGCCAGCUGAUGCCAGCGGAUGACCUUGUGAUUUUAUUGACCUUGUGAUUUUAUUGAUCUCUCCCACCGGUGCUGGGGAAGCCAUGCUUCCAAGCCUGCCAGUGGCAACUGGAGGAGGUGGGUUGAUGCAGUUCUGUCCCUCAGGCUUACAGCCCAUACUGUACCCAAUACAAAACCAGUUAUUCUUAUGCCCCUUUGCCCCUCUGUGCUCUCCUGCCUGCUGUGUGCAGGAGGCACUGGGGGCUGCCCCCAUUGUGCUCCCCUGGGCUGGCACAGCACAGCACACAGUGCCAGCACCAGCAGCCAUGGGCAUGGUGUUGUAUUGGCAUCUGCAUGUGUGCUAAUAAGGAAACAUCAUUUCAAACUUCAGCCCUCAUUUGCCGGCUACAAAACAGCAAAACAAAGCGAGUGAGAGAGCGUGAAGGGGGAGUAUGUUCUAAAUGUGCCUGGGAGGAUUCAAAGACACUUUAAAGUGGGGAUGUGGUCUGGGGAAGAGUCUAUUUUCAAUGCAGAUUUGUUUUUGUUUGAAUUAGUUGAUGCUUAUUUUAAGCUCCUGUGGCACGUUGUCAUCUCCGGAUUGCUUGUUUUCCUGUGCCAAAGUCAACCUUAAUUUUUUUCCCUCCUUUCAAGAGGAACCCACGAUUUUCCCUCUGUUGCACAGUGCAUCAGAUGGGCAGGACAGACCCAGCUUCUCUAAGCAAUGCUGACAAGAUUACCUACUGAUUGCUGGAGUAAAAUGUUGCAUUUCAACCAAAGCUGGGGCAGAUGGCGGAGGAAAGCACUGGAAACUUGUCACUAAUUUCUAGUGAAGGACAAACCUCUCGGGGAUCGCGGGUUCACUCUGGGUAAGCUGGGGAAGUUUGGCUGUGUUGCUAAUGCUCAUCCCAUGCAUCUGCAUUGGGGAACAUCCCUACUCCCUGCACCCCAAAUUGUGCCUUGAAAUGAGGGGGAUGGAGAUGUCUGGGCCCCCUGCAGCCCGCAUUGGCAGCCCACCUCCAGCAGGUUUGCCUUCAGCAAGGGGUAAAUGCUGCCUUCACGUCUGUAGGAAGUGGGCCAGAGGGUUUAAGUGCAGCAUGGACAACCCCCAGGGGAUGUCCUGUGUAGCAUGGGAACGCUUCUCCUUCAUCUUGUAUCAGGAGACUUGGAAUGGGAACCCUUGUGAAAGAGCAGCAGGAGGUAUUGCUUAUCCCUGCGGGGCUCAGUGCCUUCCCAGAGAAGAACAGAUAUAAUGGGAGGAGGGCUGCAAGCAUGGGUCUGGCUGCGAUGCUGCAAGGAGAACACAAGCAAAGCGUGAAGUUCCCAAAUGCAUGGAUGUGAGGUGUGUGCCACCAGCCCUGCUCAACAGAGGUGGACCUGGGGGAGCAAUCUGCCUCUGUGGGGAGCAGCAGCAGGGCUGACACCACUCAUACUGCUGGUUGGAGUUUGGGAACUGCACCUCAUGCCCUCCCCAGGAGCUGGUGGCAGCGUGGCACUGACUGGGGCUGCGGACACGUGGGCUGAAAUCAGACAGCCGACAGAACCCAGUCCAAAAGAUCAGAUAUUACCUAAUGAGCUAAUUAGUUCCUUAUCAGCAGCUAAUGGCCAGGAACUUCGUCGGCAUCUGUCACCAUCGCUGGCGGGUGGGGCAGAUGCUGAGGACGUGGGACCAAAGCAGAGCUAUCAACACAGCAUCCUAGAGCUGCCCCACGCUGUGGGUCCCUCUGCUUUGUUUUUGUGCUCUGCGCCGGUGCCUUUGAAGACGGGCACGCCAUCAAUUAUUUAGGGCAAUAAAUAAAGCUCUUGACCUUUCCUUGAGCUUGCCCCGAGACACUCCUGCUCCUGCACUGGGGCUGCUCGCUGGUGUCAUUACUUAGGCUCUGCUGUUUCUCAUCCUGCUUUCAAUCCUGCCCUGUUUUCUCUGCAUUAAUCACCACAGCAAAGGUCCAGGGUGCACGAGAAGCCCCCGUGGUGCCAAACCCAUGCAUGGCUGGCUGUGCUCAGCCCCCGGGACCCUCCCGGCCACCAGCGAGAUGUCUCUUGGUCUCUGGCUGCUGUCACUCCCUUAGAUUUCAGCUCAAUCAUUUCUGAAAUGUGGAGCUGUAGCUAAAACGCCUUUGCAGUUUAACAGGAUUUUUCACAGCCUACACAGCAGAGGCUAGAGUUGCUCAUCACCUGCUGUUGUAAUCUGCACCGUUAAGCCUCCAGCUCUAUACAGAAAGCUUAACUUUGCUUUGCUUAUUUGCCUUCUCUAUUCCCUCGCAUCCGGCAGCCAUAUUUCAGGGAGGAAAAGUUAAUCUUUUUUUCCCCUGACUCCAGACAAAGGCAUUUCAAAUGAGAUACAAAUUGCUGAUGAAAUUAUUGGCUUUGAGCCCCAUCUGGGAAAGUCCCACUUAAAAGAGCCCCUGCUAAAGGGAAGAAAGCCAUUUUCUGCAACCCUGACUGCGCGCUGCCAGGAAUCACAGAACCACAGAGUGGUUUGAGUCGGAAGGGACCCCCAAAGGCCGCCCGGUGCCACUCCCUGCAGUGCACAGGGACAGCCACAGCUCCAGCAGUGCUCAGAGCCCCGUCCAGCCUGACCUUGGCUGUCUGCAGGGACGGGGCACCACCGCCUCUCUGGGCAACCUGUGCCAGUGUCCUACCAGGGGCUGAGAUGCUCUCCCUGCAGGCAGUGGGACCCCACUCUGUCCCUGCAAAGCCCAGUGCACAGAGCAUCGCCACAGCUGUGCUCAGGAUGGGCUGUGCAGGCUGCUCCCUUCCUUACAGCUCAUUAUGAAUGCCGUCCUCAAAGAUAAAUGUACAACUUGAUGCAGAGGUAUGCUCUCUGGCGAAACUGAAAAGUUAUAGAUGUUAGCUUUGUGGCUCUAUGAAAGAGCUUUCUUAUGGAACCUGAAAUGACCAAGAUUAGAUUGAAUUAAUAUGUACAGUUUUUUUUUACAAAGAUUUCUAGCAGAAGCAUUUCAUAAAAAUGCAAAUCUCAGCUGAGAUUUAUAAUUAGUAGAGAUAUGUGUGGAGCUCACAAAUUAUCAGCAAAGCCAAGCUCUCCACGGAUAAUUGCAUGGGGCUGUGCUCAGCAUCUGAUGGCAUCCUCUGAACCCUGCUGCCAGCUCAGGGGCUGCGCAGGGUGCCCCAGGCAUGGCAUGUGGGAGCUGUGCAAAAGCAGGAUGCAAGGGGAUAUCAUGGAGAACCUACCGGGAGCAGGAAGAGGAAGAGGAGGAGGCAGAUGGAGAUCUUGUGAUGCAGUUAUCCUGAUGCUUCCACACGCUCCUCCUCUUUCUGGGGUGUGGGAGUGGAAGCCUGCUGUGCUGGGAGCUGCUGGGUGAGGUGAGAGGAGCAGAGAUGCAGUGCUCUGGGACAAUCCAUCCUGCCGACGUGAAUCUGUACAUAUUGGUUUUACCAGCUUCGUGUGAUUUCCUGACACCACGUGAAAAACUGCAAAGGAAAAGUUGUGACAACUGCUGUGAAGUUUCUGGGGGAGGGCAGUAAGUCUCUGUGGCAGCACAGCUUUUCAUAGGAACACAGAAUUGUGGAAUCAUAGCAUGGCUCGGGUUGGAGGGGAGCUCAAAGCCCACCCAGUGCCACCCCCGGCCAUGGGCAGGGCUGCCCCCCACCAGCUCAGGCUGCCCAGGGCCCCAUCCCACCUGGCCUUGAGUGCCUGCAGGGAUGGGGCACCCACAGCUCUCUGAGCAGCAGUGCCAGCGCCUCACCGCCCUCUGAGGAAAGGAUUGCUUCCUCACAUCUAACCCACAUCUCUCCUUUUUCAGGUUAAAGCCAUUCCCCCUUAUCCUUUUCUUCAGGCAGCGCUGGGCACGUCCAACUGUGAGCUUUCAUUUCUCUUUCAUUCUGUCUCUGCCAUUUCUUCUGGAGGCCAGAAGGAGACCCUGGUGGAAUAUUAACUCUGUGGUCGCUGAGUGAUUAUUUAUUGCAAUCAUUGCUUACGGGUCCUUUGACUCGUCUCUGUUAAUUAGACUGCAGGGUGUAAUAAACGUGAUGGAAGGCACCCAGGCAGGGCUGGGGAUGCUGCAGCGUGCAGUGCAGCCACUGUGCUGGGUGCAGCCUCACGGCCUUGACCUCAUCCAUCCAGCAAAGGGCAGGAGAGGCUUACAAGUCUGAAAUUGUAUUAAAAGAGAGAGUUGGUGCUGAACAGCGUGGCCCUGCUGGAAAUGAGUUCACGCUUCCAGAGUGCCUUCUUGGUGUUCUCUCAGUGCCUGGCCUCGGAGUGCCUGGCAUCCAGAUGCUCACCGUGGCUCUGCCUGGAUGGUUACCUGUGCCCAGGUCACUCAUUUCAGCGCAGCAGGGGUCUGGCCCUAUGGGGCAAAUGGUGGCAUGCACACCCCAAAGGCGUGGUGGGGGGGGAGGCAGUGGGCACACAGAGCUGCCCCUGCUCUGCACGUGGAGAUAUUAGGACAGAAAGGAGAAAUGAGCUCAUUAAAAUGGCACUGCAGCCCCCAGCGGGGACUCCUGCCGAAGCAGACUGUGUGCAGUGCGUUACGACGAGAGCCGAGAGCAGCCCGGCUCCAACAGUUAUUUAAAAUUUAAACCCACAAAUUAAACAGGUUCUUUUUUAUAACGAUAAGAGUCCGUGUCCCGGGUCCCUGAGCACCUCUCACUCACAGACAGCUGAAACACCACGCUCUCCACGAGCGGCCUAUGGGUUCUAGCAUCCCCACUGCUCACACAUGUCCCUGCUCGUGGCCGGGUGCUGCUUGCCCUUGGGUUGGCUAUGGCUGAACCCCCCCUACUCCCCCCCUCAAGCAUCAGUGGUGCCACGCAGAGCUUGGGUCAGCUGCAGUCUCAGCUGACUCCCGCUUUGAGUUUUAACUUCAGUUUUUAAAUUAUCACUCAAAGCAAAGCCGUGGUGAGAGGAGAAGAAGUCCUGACAUUUGUGUCACAAAAGGAAACCUUUUUUCCUUUCUUCUUUAAAGGCUGGCUUUUCUCCUGCCGCUACCUGUUGCUCUGAAUGGAUUCGGUGAAAGGAAGCUUUGGGAUGGCAACACUGAAAUUCUAAGCCCUGCAAGAAGAGGCGACGUCACAGCACAGACAUUUGUGAGCAGCUGUGUUCAAGGGUGAAGCACAGGAAGAGUAACGUUUCAUCCAACAUCACUGAUGAACACCAUCAGACCUCACUGAGAGCUGCAGCCACUGCCGCCGAACCACACUGAUGUGUUAGCAAGGUCAAAUAUCCCACUGGUUUGAUGGCUUUGUUGCUCUCUUUUUUCUACUCUUAUAAUAAAAUAUU